rfam:Nicotiana attenuata strain TT chromosome 10, whole genome shotgun sequence.
UGGACAGAUUAUUGUAUUCGACUGUAUUCACGGCGUAAAAUAGGGGAUUACACUGUUUUUAAACGGAAAGUGUAUCAAUUAACAUAAUAGACUCCU